rnacentral:rRNA from 1 species
AUUGGUGCCAGCAGUCGCGGUUAUACCAUUAAUACAAAUAAAUUUUUUUAGUAUUAAUUAAAUUAAAUUUAUUAAUAAUAAUAAAAUUAAAUAUAUUAAGUGAAAUUUUAUAUUUAAAUUAUUAUAUAAAAAUGUAAUUGAGGUUAAAAAAUUUUAAUAAAAAACUAGGAUUAGAUACCCUAUUAUUUAAAAUGUAAAUAAAUUGCUAAAGUAGUAAUAGUUAUGUUCUUGAAACUUAAAAAAUUUGGCGGUAUUUUAGUCUAUCUAGAGGAACCUGUUUUUUAAUCGAUAAUCCACGAUGGACCUUACUUAAAUUUGUAAUCAGUUUAUAUACCGUCGUUAUCAGAAUAUUUUAUAAGAAUAAUAAUAUUCAAUAAUUUUAAUAAAAAUUUAUAUCAGAUCAAGGUGUAGCUUAUAUUUAAGUAAUAAUGGGUUACAAUAAAUUUAUUUAUAUGAAUAAAAUUAUGAAAAAAUUUUUGAAAGUGGAUUUAGUAGUAAAAUUAUAAAGAUUAAUAAUUUGAUUUUAGCUCUAAAAUAUGUACACAUCGCCCGUCGCUCUUAUUAUUAAGGUAAGAUAAGUCGUAACAUAGUAGAUGUACUGGAAAGUGUAUCUAGAAUGA